rnacentral:rRNA from 1 species
GUAGGGUGCGAGCGUUAAUCGGAAUUACUGGGCGUAAAGCGUGCGCAGGCGGUUGUGCAAGACAGAUGUGAAAUCCCCGGGCUCAACCUGGGAAUUGCAUUUGUGACUGCACGGCUAGAGUGUGUCAGAGGGGGGUAGAAUUCCACGUGUAGCAGUGAAAUGCGUAGAGAUGUGGAGGAAUACCGAUGGCGAAGGCAGCCCCCUGGGAUAACACUGACGCUCAUGCACGAAAGCGUGGGGAGCAAACAGGAUUAGAUACCCUGGUAGUCCCACGCCCCUAAACGAUGUCAACUAGUUGUCGGGUCUUAAUUGACUUGGUAACGCAGCUAACGCGUGAAGUUGACCGCCUGGGGAGUACGGUCGCAAGAUUAA